rnacentral:rRNA from 1 species
UACGUAGGGGGCUAGCGUUGUCCGGAAUCAUUGGGCGUAAAGAGCGUGUAGGCGGUCCGGUAAGUCCGCUGUGAAAGUCGGGGGCUCAACCCUCGAAUGCCGGUGGAUACUGCCGGGCUAGAAUCCGGAAGAGGCGAGUGGAAUUCCUGGUGUAGCGGUGAAAUGCGUAGAUAUCUGGAGGAACACCGGUGGCGAAGGCGGCAUCCUGGACCGACACUGACGCUGAGGAGCGAAAGCCAGGGGAGCAAACGGG